rnacentral:rRNA from 1 species
AGGACGAACGCUGGCGGCGUGCCUAACACAUGCAAGUCGAACGAGAUCCAUGGGAGCUUGCUCCCGGAAGAUCUAGUGGCGAACGGGUGAGUAACACGUGAGAAACCUGCCCUGGAGUGGGGAAUAACUCGGGGAAACUCGAGCUAAUACCGCAUACCCUCGGAUGGUCGCAUGGCUGACCGAGGAAAGAUUUAUCGCUCUAGGAGGGUCUCGCGGCCUAUCAGCUAGUUGGUGGGUAACGGCCUACCAAGGCAACGACGGGUAGCUGGUUUGAGAGAACGAUCAGCCACACUGGGACUGAGACACGGCCCAGACUCCUACGGGAGGCAGCAGUGGGGAAUCUUGCGCAAUGGGCGAAAGCCUGACGCAGCAACGCCGCGUGCGGGAUGACGGCCUUCGUGGUUGUAAACCGCUUUCAGCAGGGACGAAAAUGACGGUACCUGCAGAAGAAGCCCCGGCUAACUACGUG